CAUUACUGAGUUUACGCUCUAUAACCCUUUGUGAACAUACCUAUAACUGUUGCUUCGGCGGGUAGGGUCUCCGCGACCCUCCCGGCCUCCCGCCUCCGGGCGGGUCGGCGCCCGCCGGAGGAUAACCAAACUCUGAUUUAACGACGUUUCUUCUGAGUGGUACAAGCAAAUAAUCAAAACUUUUAACAACGGAUCUCUUGGUUCUGGCAUCGAUGAAGAACGCAGCGAAAUGCGAUAAGUAAUGUGAAUUGCAGAAUUCAGUGAAUCAUCGAAUCUUUGAACGCACAUUGCGCCCGCCAGCAUUCUGGCGGGCAUGCCUGUUCGAGCGUCAUUUCAACCCUCAAGCUCUGCUUGGUGUUGGGGCCCUACAGCUGAUGUAGGCCCUCAAAGGUAGUGGCGGACCCUCCCGGAGCCUCCUUUGCGUAGUAACUUUACGUCUCGCACUGGGAUCCGGAGGGACUCUUGCCGUAAAACCGCCCAAUUUUCCAAAGGUUGACCUCGGAUCAGGUAGGAAUACCCGCUGAACUUAAGCAUAUCAA
rnacentral:rRNA from 1 species